rnacentral:rRNA from 1 species
AUUGAACGCUGGCGGCAGGCCUAACACAUGCAAGUCGAGCGAGCGGCGGACGGGUGAGUAAUGUAUGGGAAACUGCCUGCUGGAGGGGGAUAACUACUGGACACGGUAGCUAAUACCGCAUACCAUCAGAUGUGCCCAGGUGGGAUUAGCUAGUGGGUGGGGUAACGGCUCACCUAGGCUAGGCUCCCUAGCUGAUCUGGGAGGAUGACCAGCUACACGAGAACGGAGACAAGGUACAGACUCCGACGGUAGGCAGCAGUGGGGAAUAGAGUACAAGGGGAGCAAGGGUGAUGCAGACAAGCCGAGUAUGGGAAGAAGGCAUGGGUGUUGGAAAGCUCAUUCAGUGGGGAAGCGUUACCCGCAGAAGAAGCACCGGCUAACUCCGUGCCAGCAGCCGCGGUAAUUC